rnacentral:rRNA from 2 species
UACGUAGGUGGCGAACGUUAUCCGGAGUUACUGGGCGUAAAGGGUCCGCAGGCGGGCUGAUAAGUCUGACGUGAAAUCUUCUGGCUCAACUAGAAGGGGUCGUUGGAAACUAUCGGUCUAGCAUCCCGCAGAGGUCGGCGGAAUUCCCGGUGUAGUGGUGGAAUGCGUAGAGAUCGGGAGGAACCUCGAAAGCGAAGGCAGCCGGCUAGGCGCGGAUGGACGCUGAGGGACGAAAGCGUGGGGAGCGAACAGG